rnacentral:lncRNA from 1 species
ACCGGCUCCCAGAAUAUUGGAAAAUGAGAAGUCUUAUUACUAUUUUGGGGAAAGCUUGAGGCAGGCAUUGGCUGAUGAUUUAUACCAAAGGCUUUCAUCAAGAUGAGGCAUAAUUCACAAGGAGGAGGUAUUCGGCAUGUGCUUCUAUGUAAGGAUACUUCUCUUUGUCAAUCUAACUUGCUUUAGAGGACGACUGACUUUUAUCUUUACUAAUAACUAUCAGAAUUUGGUUAUGUUGUACUUGUAUUUAAUUGUGAUGAAUCUCUUGUAAUCUAUGACACAAGCUCAAAUGUUAUGGAAUUUAAUGCAAUGUAAUCAAUAGUCAUCAAUGGGAGAAAGUGUCGUUGCUCAUCCAUCUUUUGUACUUUAUGAUAUUUUUCUGUUUGCUAGUUCUCACUGUGUAGUGUGAUUGAAACUUGAUUCUACCCUCAACUGAAAAGAAUAAAUAAGAAAAGAAAGCAUUUGAUUGCUUAGCUGGUUAUAAACAUAUAUGUGCAGAACCUGUUCUAAAUGGGUGUAGGAAAUGUUAUAUGUAAUUUACUUAAGAUCAGAUUAAUGUCUAGGAAAAGUCAGCACAAAGAGUAAUACUUUUUAUAUGUUUUUAUUAGAUUAUUUUAUUUAUUUUUUGAAUUUCUUAUGCAUUCAUUUACUAAUUUAGUUUACACCACUCUACCUUUCUUGGAAAGGUCCAGACCCCAUUUGGCAACGUAAUCCCUGGAAGUGGUUUUUUCUGAGAUAUAUCGUGUGGUGGUUUUCCUUUGUAAGAGAUUCCAUUGUGUUGCUUGGCCUUAAACUAUUCAUCAUCGCUGGAUAUUGAGUACACUAAGUCUCUUUUUAUAACUGAAUUCCUCAGUCAAUAUGAUGUUCACUGCAGGAGCUUGAGAAGAAUAGGAAGGAAAUGGCUCAGGAAGUCUAUGAGAAGAAGAAGCAAUUGACGAAAUUGAGGGUGAAAGCUGAGAAGCUUGCUGAGGAGAAUCUUGGUUCCCAGCUCGACAUAAUUGCUCCAGUCAAGUACUAAGAUAGAAAUAUAGAUUUUCCAAGCAGAAAAUUUUGUUGGGAGUAUCAUGUUUCAACUCAAUUUGAUUCUUUUAGUCACUAUUUCUAGAUUGAGAGGUUUAUCAUCUUGUGUGGUUAUUUUGAACAGAAAAAGUUGUUCUAUACAUGGUGCACCUUGUUUUCUAAGUUAACUGACUAUUGUUUUGUUACUGAUUUUGUGCAUCUUUAAUAACUGUCUAUUACUCCCUCCUUUUGACUAAAUAUACAAUUUUUUGUCUAGGAGAUAAAAAAGAUAGGUAUAUAAAGCAAAGAGGAAAUAUGUUAUUUAUUAAGGUUUAUUAGUAUAAAUAGAGAUAUAAUCUUAUAAGGUUAUUAAAGAUAAAUUUUAAAAAAAAAUUAUUCUAUUCUAUUUUUAUUUUUUUUAAUAUGUGUGCAAAUUAUAUUGGAGUGAAAUAUUUGAGGGAGAUAAAAAUUUAUUAAUUGAUUACUUAAAUUCCAAUUCAUAAUUUAAAUGUCUUCGAGUUUGAGAUACAGUCCCAUUCUCUAGCUCAUGGUAUAUUUUCUUACUUGGUAGAAAUCCUAUUGUUUUGCUGAACAUAUAUAUAGAUCUAUAUAUAUAACGAUCUGCAAUCCUAAAUUUAUUUUUAAACUUCGUUGUUGAGCUAAUCCUAAAUUUAUAUAACCACCUACAAUCAGUUUUUGAAUCAAGUUACGGAUCUGCAAAAUUGUAUACCCAUCUACGUGCGACAAAAAAAAGGAGUUGUUAUAACAAGCAAACAAUAAUUUUUAAUUGUCAAGUUACUAUUUAAAAAGUUACAAUCAAUCAAAAAGUAUUUUGUAAAGUUAACUAAUUAUACAUAGUUAUGAUGAUUUUGGGUAUGGAAUGAUGGCUUUUUGGUGGUUUGGAUAUGUAUGGAUAAUUGUAAGUUUUAUAGACAGGUUUAUAUUUGUCUGGAUAUCUAUUUUUAAAUAAAACUGUCGAAUUUUUUUAAAAUUAGUAGCGACUACCUUGAUGUUUUGGUGUUUUUAAAAUCCUGUGUUCAAGGUGGCAAACCUGCAAAUCUUCAGUAUGUAAACUUUGUUUGUAUGUAUAUCGUGUAUAUUUAAAUUCAUUUGCUAAUAUAUUAUAAGAAUGUUGUUGUUCACAAAUUGCUAAUUAAUGAAGCUUCCAUUGUUAAAUGACUGAAGUUUUAGAAAUUUGAUCACUCCAGCUAAGGAAUUCAGCUUCUUAAUAGUGUAAAUUGUAUUAAAAAGAAAGAGAAAAAGAAGCCUUUAACUGGAUGAAUUGUAAUUGAACUUAAGAAAGAAGCUUGUAAAUGAAUUGGGGAAAAUAAAGUCUUUUACUAGACAGAUUGUCAGCGAACAUAGAAAAAUGUGCAUUGGUAUGAUUUUUAAUAAAUUGAACUUGUGUUUUAUGUAUUUAUUAUUCUUUUAAAUUAUAUUUUAAAAAAUGAUGGACCAAUGCGUAUAUCUUUCUUUUCCUUUACUCAAUACUAUUAUUAUUGCUUUUACCCUCUCAAUUUGCAGGUGCCCCAAUGCGUAUAUAUUGGAGGGAUAUGGAGGAGGAUUAUUGAUUUUGUGCUACUUAGUUUCAUUUGGUUAAUUAGUUUUGAACUUAGAGCGUCAAACUAUUUGGUUUUACUUAGUUUCCAUAUUUUUAUUUGAUGAUUUGUGUUACUUAUGUCAUUUACUUACUCAAAACUUAUGAAGGAGGAAGGAGAAUAUAUAUUUAAAAAAAAUUAUAAAUCCGACUAACCGAUUAAUCCCCGACUAAUCCCUAGUGUCUAACCGACAUGGGACCGACUAGCGACUUUUAGAACACUGAAACUUGGGAACAAAAAUUUACCUUACUAAUGUGUGAAAUAACCAAAACUAUCCUGUGUGAAAUGGAGGGGAUACUAUAUAAGAAUAAUAUAUUUUCAAUUAAAGUAGGAUAACAAAAAUCCCACAAACUUAAGUGACACACCAAUAACCCUUCUUAUCAUCCAUUGAAGAUAAAAAAUCCCACUACUGAACAUAACAUGAAACAUAACAUGAAUAAAUGAAUUUCACAUUGUACCAUUAUUGCAGAUUUUAUAAACUCAAAAAGUCAUAAUUUCAGAUAACAUAAAACAAUCUGCCAGAAAAGCCAUAAUUCGACCAGGAUUAUUUGUUCCUUGAAACUUUAUGGCUUCAUAUUGGCUCUUAUGGAGUGAAGAAGUUCCUUUUCCCUUAAAUUUCCAAUUCUUCAAUGCAUGUGCAGGACUUUGAAGCCAUAUCCCAUUUCAAAAACUCGUGAAGUACCUUCUCACAUUGAUCAACCUGACUGGGCAAUUGAUGUGAGUUGUUUGAUUGAAUAUGUAGUUCAUUAAUCAUAUCUUUAUUGCUAACUUCGUUGUGUAGGUAGUUACUUGGGGGAAAUGUUCUUUUGCCUGUUGUAAGGGAUUUAAUAUCUUCUGUUACUGUCAACUUCCUGAAAUGAUAUACUUCAGUGAAUUGCUUCUAUUACUGUCUAUACACAUUCCUAUUCUUGUGAUUCGGAAUGCCUCAUAUGUUAUAUGAUUUUCUUAAUUUUCUUUGUAACUCUACUUCGUAGGGUAUCCCUAAAGUUGAGCCUAAUAGCGAUCUCCAACAUGUUGUCGAGGUAUUUCCAUUUCAGAUGAUAUUUCCUCCACUGAGAUAUACCCACUUAGUUAUAUUCGGAAAAUUUGUUCAAUAGAAGAUUUGUUUUUCCGAAACCUAAUUAUUCUUUUCUUUUGUCAUUUACAAUUUCUUGAAGAUCAAAACUCCAGAGCAAAUUGAGAGAAUGAGAGAAACUUGCCGAGUAAGUUGUUAUUCCAUUUUAAAAUUUUCAAUAUUUUGUGUGAAGAAAACUUGUCUUCUUGCAAAAUUUCUUCAUAAAUUGUUUUUCAUCUCAUCCAGACUCUUCUUCGAUAUGCAUGGAUUGAUGUGUUUGUGCACUUGUUUGAGUGCAUACAUGUGCAUGUUAAUUAAUCAAACAAUCAAGAUUUUGCACGAGGUAAACGAUGUUACAAUUCACAAAACGAGACCUCUGAUCUCUCUAACAUCUAGUUGUUUUUUGAUAACUGAAAAUAGAGUAUGAUUAAGUGUUAUAAUAGAGAUGUUGGCUGCAAAACCUCUGGAUGCAUUAUUAAUAGUAGCAAGUAGUCUAUCUGAAGAGACAUCAGCUAAGUUUGUGUGGGGAAAGGAAUAGUGAAACAAGUAUAACAUACAAACUAACAACCAGAAUUGAACAACACACCCACCCGCCAAUCCCACCCUCAAAGAAAAAUAGAAAAUGAAAACUGAAAAUUUUACAAUAGCAACCAUCAACAUCUUGAAUAAAUAGGCAGUUUCCUUGUAGAGAUUAGUGUGGUCAGCAGUUCAAGAACGGAGAGAAUCGCAACCAACCUAUCUCGCGUGUUCUUUAAUAUAGAUCUUGAAGUAUUUUGUUUAUAAAUAAUACAUUUUCAGAUUGCUAGAGAAGUUUUGGAUGCCGCUGCUCGUGUUAUUCGACCGGGCGUGACUACUGAUGAAAUUGAUUCUGUGGUUCACGGAGCAACGAUUGCUGCUGGUAUGUUGACUAAUUAACUCUGUUAGGUAACCCUCAAAAUGAUACUCCCUCCAUUCCACAAAAGAGUCCCAUUUGACAAUUUUUUUGUUCUACAAAAUGAGUCCACUUCUUGGUGAUAGCAAUAUACAAUGACACCAUAUCCUCAAGUUUAUUAUCAUAAUUUCAUUAUCAAACCACACUACUAAGCUAACAACUUAUUAUUUUGAGGGGCAUAUAUGGAACAAAAAUAUAUCCUUAAUAUUGGCAAAUUCUGUAAAUUACUUUUUGUGAAAUAGAGGGAGUAUAUCUUUUGCUUAUUGGAAUAUUUGAUAUAUUCUAGUUGUGAUAAUUGUGUAGUUGCAUCAAAUGUCAUUAAAAAUUCUAUAUUGUUUUACCAGGCGACAUUUAUCAAGUAUCUGGAUUUAUGAUAUUAUUGCGGCUUUAACUAAUUAAAUCUUUUUAAAGACAUUUAUAUCUUAGACAUCCAAGUUAAAUAUCAAAAAUAAAUCUCACACAUCAUCAUGUUAAAGUCAGAGAGUUAAGCUUUACUUCCUUGUCACAUAGUUGAUGUUGCACAUAUUCUUCAAAUUCCAUCUUUUAAGUUCCACCAAAUAAGAAACAAAUUCUGAUUUGCUGACUGUGAGUUAAUUUGAGUUGUUAAUCUAUUUAUGAAGCUAAUAAUUUUGAGAUACGUAUAUAAAUUGCGUAAAGAGCAACGGUACUUGCGUCAAUUACAUAGACUUUUAUUUUGCUUAUCCUUGUAUGAAUCUAAUAGUGACUAUCUUUCUAGAGUACUCUUAUUUUUGUGGCAUAGAUUUUUAUUUUUAUUUUCAUGAACAGCAUGGGUUUUUGUCUAGAACUUGCGCGCAUAUAACACCAUGAUUUGAGGAAAUGCCAUACUUAACCAGGAGCGAUCUCUCUUAGUUGCCACUGGUUAUUAAAAUGAUGACUAUGAUUGUAUUUGGUAAUGUGAGUGACAAUCUUUUGCAGGCGGUGUGGAAGUUGAUUACUUUUCAGUUUUCAGUUAUAUGCUACUUAAAAAUAUUUCAUUUGAAUUAGCUUUCAUGUUAAAUGCUGGAAUGACAAUCCAUAGAGAAGAUUGAUUGUUUUAUGUUUAGGUAUCUUGCACCUUUGGAGUUCAUUCUUACCAGUCUAUUAUGCCAUUUUUCAUCUUAUAUGUAUAAUAAUUGUUUCUUUACUUCUUCUUUGGAUUCUAUCUUCUGCAGGAGGAUAUCCAUCUCCAUUGAAUUAUAAUUUCUUUCCUAAAUCCUGCUGCACGUAGGUACUUCUCUCUUUGUAUGUAUAUUCAGUCUGAAUUAUAUCCUACAUUAUUAUUAUAAAUUCUACUGUCCAUUUAUUACAGGUCAGUCAAUGAAGUAAUUUGCCAUGGAAUUCCUGAUGCUAGGUAUGUUUUAUAUUUCAACCCAGGGACACUGAUCUCCCUUUCUAACUUUAGUUCCGGUACAAUCUCAAAUAAUUUUUAAUUUUCAAGCAUGCUUUCUUGAAUCCGUGUUAAAAGAAAAUAGUAAAUCAUUUUUGAUACUAUGAUAGCUGUUAUGCGUGUUUGACAUGUGUAUGUGUAUUUCUGAGGUGGAAAAAAUCAACUUUCUCAAAGUUUUUGAUAGCUUGAACAAAAGUAUUUGAAUUAUUACAUUGCUGCUGGUAAAAACAAUGUCAAUGUCAAUCAACAUCAAAUGCUUAGAAGGAUGUGUAAAGGUUGAAUUUAUUUUGAGAUUAGUUAAGCAGAGAUGACUCUCAUUGUUUCUUCUAGAAUAUUAGCUUCUUCUUUUUUAGCUGUUAAGUUUUAUAGGUGUUUUUUCAUGUGCUUGCCUUUGUUUACUCAAAAUCAAAAAAAUACAUUAGAAUCGCCAAAGGGCAGGACCCAUCCUCAUGGUAUCCAAAGGCAUUAUAAAACUUAGUAUGGGCUUUAACAAGAACUCCACAGGGAAGCUCUUGUGGUAGCGAAUAGUGGGAUAUAUUAUAAUUGCAAGUAAAUUGGUUUUAGACCCUUAUUUAAUGUGUAUUUUCCCUCUAUUUUUACGACCAACUCUCCGACUGUUAACUACCAAAAAAAGACAGAGGUUGCAGAAUUUCAGAGUUUAGUAUUUCUGGUUAUCCUUGUGCACAACCGUGGGACUGAAUUUUUACCUAAAAUAUGAUUACAAGGAUAAGGGGGGAAAUUGUUGAAUCUAUAGUGUCACUAGGCAUCCUUGCAAGGUUAACUACAUAACCACAAGCCCAAAUUUUUGCAAAUUAAGUCCAUUGACAUAAAGAUUGUACAAGUUUCAUUGGAUUCCAUGUUCACCAACUUGAUAUGGGGGAAGGCCUUGAAAUGCAGUAAAGAAGAGAGUAGACUCUUUAAAUAUUUCAAUAUAACGAAAUAAAAUAUAUUAUAUAUGAUACAAAAUGAAAAACCACUGUAAAAUUUCCAUGUCCACUACACGGGAGAAAUUCGAAGGUGCCCACGUAGUUUGAAACUCCACAAAACAUAACAAAUUCACAAUAGCACAUCAUUGAUAUCUAAUACUCUCUCCUUUCCAAAAUUUAUUUAUUUAAAGUCAAUAUGAAAUACUCCUAAAUUCAAAACUGAUGUGGUUCAUUUUACUUUCAAAAACAAUAUAUAUUGUAAUUCGUAGUACUUUUUACAUAGUUUACAAUUUUUAUAAUUGAUUGAUCUAAAAUUAAAAGAAUUCAUAUCAAUUUUGAAUUUGAAAAUAUACUAAAUUGACUUAGAAAAGAGUCAAUGUUGAUCCUAGAAUGGAGGGAGUAUAAAAUAAUUUAAAAAAAAAAGAAUAAUCCCUUGAUUUUGAAUAAAGAGCAAAAGAAUGAUAAAAUUAACUCUACUUUUAUUAGCGGUAGCUCCUUUAAAUAAGUUGAAUUCUUGAGCUCUUGUAAAGGUGGAUCCUGAUUGAAAAUUUACAUAUUGUUUUAGGAAAUUAGAGGAUGGUGACAUUGUAAAUGUUGAUGUGACGGUGUACUUUAAAGGUGUUCAUGGUAAGAAGCAUAUUGUCAAUGGUCUUAAAAUAUUACUCCAGGUAACUAACUACGUAUGGCUCUAUUUCAUUUUUCCUGUUGGCUUCAGGUGAUCUCAAUGAAACAUUCUUUGUGGGAAAUAUUGACGAGGCAUCUCGACAGUUGGUUCAAUGUACUUACGAAUGUUUGGAGAAAGCAAUAUCAAUUGGUAGGUGUUGCUCUUGUAUGUUCAGACGGGGUCUAGGUUCUAUACUGAAGUCUUGAUGUUCAUCCCCGAACAACCCAUUUACAACGUUGGAAAUUCAUACCACUCGUUCCUCUUCCUCACCCUCUCCCUUAAAGAAAAAUACAUUACCACUAUAAUAUUCCUCCAAUGCCUUGGGGAUGCAUAUCACCCAAAUCUAAUUCUGAUUUAUUUUAUUUAUUUUUUCGAUAAUGUUUCUUAAAAAAUGCUAGUUGGUCUUGGUAUCCUAACUUAAAAAUAAUUUAUUUUUUACUUGAAAAUGGACAAAGGUGAAGUUUCUUGAACCAGAAUACUUCCUGAUAGCUUAUGGUUGCAAAUAUCAUGAGCUCAGUGCUUGUGAUUUGGAAUCUCUAUUCACAAAAUGCACUUUCUAAUGGCUAGUCAUUAACAUGGAACCAAUAAAUACUUAUAUACAUACUUUUGGAUUCUUUCAACUGUAAUAACUAUAUACUUAAAAUUUAUGCAUAACUAGUGCCUCUUUGUAAUUUGUACUUUGAAGUUAGUGCUUGUUUUGGACAAGUUAGGAUAUUUAUCUAGGUAAUUUUUCAUUAGAAAUAGGUUACUUGUACCACUGAGUUUUAUUGUCAUCCAUGCCUGGUUAUUGAUCCUUGUAAUUUAUCUUGAGGAUUCUUUUUUGCAGAAAUAUGGCAAUUCUUUGGUUGUAUAUGAUACAGUUAGACUUUUAAAUAAUGAACUUUGCAGAUUUCUAUUGUUGCUUGAUGUGAACCAGCAGUUAUCAUUUUUUGGAGUCUUCUUCCUGCUUGUUUAAUUUCUUAAGAUAGGCCUUCAACCUUGUGUAAUUCUAAUGCUUACAUCUACUAUUUCCAGUUAAACCUGGGAUACGAUUUCGAGAAGUUGGAGAAGUCAUUAAUCGCCAUGUUUUAAUGUCAGGGUUUUCUGUGGUAACAAUACAAUCUCUCUCUCUCUCUCUCUCUCUCUCUUGUAUGAAGAUCAGAGCUUCUUAACAUUAUUUUAUUGUCAUGCUACAAUAGGUUAAAUCAUAUUGUGGCCAUGGUAUUGGAGAGCUCUUCCAUUGUGCACCAAAUAUUCCUCAUUACGCAAGUAUCCUUGUGAAGCAGCUUUCAUGUCCCAACAUAUUUUCUAAUUUGAAUUUUUUUCCCCACUAUAAUUCAUGUCAAAUUGCCCAAUACAGAGUAUAUACUGAACCAAAUACCUUUUUCUGUGACAUUACAAAUUGAAUCUUUUAUCACAGCUGGUUAUUUUCUUUAGGCCAUUUCUGUAUUGACCUUAACUUAAGCAGGAAAUAAAACAGUGGGUAUAAUGAAGGCUGGGCAGACCUUUACCAUUGAACCUAUGAUCAAUGCAGGUAACACUUGUAUGGUUUAUUGAACAACUAUAACAACUAUUUGUUCCUUCUAUUUACAACUAAAAGAAAUUCUGGUUAAAGGUGUUUGGCGUGAUCGGAUGUGGCCUGAUGGCUGGACCGCUGUUACUGCAGAUGGCAAACGCAGUGCUCAGUUUGAACACACACUUCUGGUAAAACACUUAUCAAACUUGCAUGAUCUAUUUUUGUACAUAGAAUUUGGGAGAGCGGGCACACACAUCAACACUUCAUAAUCUAUUUUUGCACAAUAGAAUUUGGGAGAUUGGGCAGUUUUCCAGUUUUGCAUGAUGACGUUUCUCUAUAUUUUGGGUUAUAACUGUUGUAGCAUACAUCCUUCAUUGUAUGCAAUAUGAUUGGUAGUUUUUUUUAUUGCAUAAACUUAAUCGAAUCAGUGAUACUACUGCGGAAUCUUUGGGUUCCAGUCUAACUUCUGCCAUUGAGUUUUACAUUGAAGUGUAUUACUACCUCCGUCCCAUAAUAAGUGAUUUUUUUAGCUUAAAUCACACAUACCAAUACACAAGUUAAAAUGGCAAAAAUACCCUUAAUAUAUUUUCUUUGAAGUUGAAGAGUUAAUGAGUGUAAUUUAAUUGUAGUGAUUGCAAGAUGCAAUAAAUAUCAUUGAAUGCAUAAGGGCAUAUAUGAGAAAAUAUUAUAAAAAUUGUAUUGGAGUUCUAACACAUUACUUAUUUUGGGAAAAAAUAUUAAGCCUAAAAAAUCACUUAUUGUGGGACGGAGGUAGUAGCUUUUUUCUUGACCUUAAAAUAGUUGUGAUUUUAGAUUCUUCAUUGUCAUUUGCAUUUUAUUCCAUUGUUCUAACAGAUGGUGUAUUGUAGGUAACUGAUACCGGAGUCGAAGUCCUAACAGCACGCCUACCUACGUCCCCUAAAGUGUUUCCAUGGCUAAAAUCAUGUGUCUUUUGGGAGUCAAAUUUGACAGGCAGAAUUCCAUCCCGAAUGACACAUUAAUUAGAAGUAUAAUUUUUCGGGAGGACUGAUUUUUGAACUUAUUUGUUGGAUUAGUUUGUUUAUUAGUAACGCUGUAGAUGAUAUAUUGUCAUAAGUUUUGAGGACCAAAGAUUAUCUCUAUAUAAGUUAAGAGUUAAUAAUGGGCUAUUAUGAAGCCAUUGGUAUUCCUAUCCUAUCCUAUCCUAUCCUAUCCUAUCCUUUUAUUUGCUCUUAAACACAGGCUUGUCCUUCUCUGUUGGAAAUGAACAACCAACAUAUGUAUACUCCUGAAAAACAUAUUAUAUAUACACCUGAUGAUGUGUACUUUAAAUAUUUUAUACUUUAUAUACUAAUAUGUAUAUUGCAUAUAAAUAUGACAUUAUUGUUAAAAUUUUAAUUUUUUAACAAUUUGUGUUCUUGAGAAAACAAGGGUUCUUCUUCCUCAGAGUGCAAUACAUGGCUACACUUACAAAACUACAUUAUCUUUUAUCCCAAACUAAUUGAGAAGUCGAAAGUUCACAUUUCAUUGUUUUGAUACUUGAAAGUUUACAAAUCUGAGGUCUUGUUACAGUACAACAAAAUGGUAAGCACUUAAAUAAGAUUGUUAAAACCCAGCUGAACCUACUAACGACGAGUAUGUUGCAUUUUCAUCAGUAGGUGCUGCCUUCUGUACGCCGUCCUUGUUUAAAGUCCCAUGUUUACUCUUAACGAGUUGCCCGCUCUCCACAUUGGCUGUACGACACAGUUCUAAUCUUCGCUGCUUUGCUUCUUCCAUGUCACCUUCCCAGCAAGUUUCUGAUAUAAUUUCAAGUGCCUUCUCCAGUUUGUCCUCGGGAACAAGAUCCCCAUUUUGCAGAAGUACAAGGUAUACUUGUUCAGCACAAGCCUUUCGAAUCUGCGGUGAAGAAAGUAGUAAACAACACAGAAAGGUCCAUGAUUACUUCUCAUCAACAUCUGUUGGUAGAAAAAUAACAAGCAAUACAUGUAUAACUCAUUAUUUACCCAAGACAAAAAAAGUGGAUGUGCAACAAACCUUUGGGUAUCGAUGGGAAAGGAAUGUCAGAAGUUGAGAGAAGGCCUCAAUGUUGAUAGGCUCCGUGAUUGAAGCAAUGUAUCCAAGUAUUCCGAUGCCAGCAUAUAACUUAGAGAAGUCCUUCGAUCCCUUCAAUUCGAUAGCAAGAGAUUCCAAAACUCCAGCACAAAAUAUUGGAGUUUGUGCCUAAAAAUAGUAAAGAAUCAAAUUAACAAAGAAAUGUGUGGGGGAGUGUAACCAUGUUUUCAAGUGGACAUAUUAGAUGAUGACCACCACCCUAAAAACAAGGAAAGAAGAUCCUGAUCUAAUUUACUAUAUCUAAAUGUUUUAAACAUACAAGUUAUUCAAUCUAUAAAUAUCAAGUCAAGUGCAUUUAAGCAUAAACCCACAUAAUGCCUACAGAAAGGAAGUUAGAUUCAUGGAUUAAAUUGCUAUUUCUUGGUAAGUCAUUGGAAGGUGGUAAACUGUCAAGUAUAAUAUGCAAUAAUUUCAUGAUGCACGCAUCAACUUUUCACCUCAUAAUGUAGCCAUCACAGUUAUCAAGUUAGCAAAUAAUAACAUUACUGCAUCUCUCGUACACUUCUUUCCCUUCUAGCCUUCUAGGUACAAGUAAGAAAACUAUAUUUCACCAUUUUCUGAGGCUUAACACUUUUUUGGGGCAUCAUUCCCCGAAAUGUAGCCUUGGAGCCUAAACUGAAUCUCCAGCAUUAGUGAGUAUGACUCCAUGCAUGCCAAUUGGGUUAAGAAAACAAGGUCAAAAUGCCAGUAACAGAGUCGAUCAAUAAUUCAAUUUGCUGCAAAGAUUAGACCGGGUACAGACUAAUCUCCAUGUGAAAAACAAAAUGGGGUGACAAACAUAUGUAAAAUCAAUGUAAUGGAACUCCACAAAUAAAAGCAGGGCAACAGUAAAAGAAAAAGAAAUGACUAACCUCCAUGUUAAGGAAUACCCUUUUACUGAAUAGAAUCUCAAUGGUCUGAAAUAUAGAAGUAUAAUUGUCAAGGUUAUUAACAUGCAACAAAGCCUAGUAAACUUGGCAGAAUAUAAUCUCCCAAAAGAGAAACAUGCACUGAGAGGUUUGAGAAAAGACAUAAUAUGCAUAAAUAUUUGCAAGACUCAUCAAACAUUUUUAUGCAGCAGUAUGCCUAUAUAUACAGGAAGCAGUUUAGACUUUGCAACAUAGUUAUGCUACCUUGAUAUACUGAUUUUAGAGUCACUGUGAAGAGCAUCAGGUUUAGUACCUUUCUAAUUUUCUGUUGAGGAGUAUUCUGCAGAUAUUACAAGUUAGGUCUGCACAAGAAGCUGAGCUUCUUUUAUUGUGUCAUUACAUUCUCCACCUUUUAGAACUGUUGCUCUGUCAGGAUUGAGUUGAAUUAGUGUUUCAAGUCAUUUCAAAAUGUUUUUUAACACUGCUAGGAGAGUCAGAAACAAGCCAAACUAAGCCUUCCCUAAUAGUAGAUUUCUAGCAUCUCCAAUUCUUUUCCUUUUUUCUUUCCCUUGCUUGUAUGGGGAAUUCUUUCCAGUCAAUUUCUUUUUUAUUUCUUACUCUUCCUCGAGUAAUACAUUCUUUUUGUAUCAUUCUUCCUUUCGAACUCUUAGAAUUUUAGUGAAAUCAAGAAAGAUAAAAUAAAAUAAAAACUUGUGAUUGAAGUAGCAUAAAAUGUCAUCCUCCUAUUAAGGAAGUUACAAUUUUAUGCCCCCAAAACAGUUGGAAUAGUGUAAGGUGCACGUUGUUGUUACUAGAAAAUACAAACGAUUUGUAGUCAUUCUACUCGAAUAAAAAGCAGUAAUAUAUGAAAUUUUAAUGGCAAGAAAGCUCUAGACUGAAGGUACCUUCAAGGUGGGUAUGAUGACUCUGUCACUUCUUUUGUACUUUUGGAGUACCCAGAUGAUAUCUUCACAUAAACUGAACUCUCUUGACAUUCUUCCACAUUUGUCCUUCUCUUCAGUGGCUUGAAGGUACUUCAGUAAAGCAUCCAGUGAUGUCUUCCUCAAAGAUUCUUGUAAGCCACCAAUAGAAAUAACUAACCCAGACAGCACAUGUUUACUAUAACAAUUAAGCUCAAGUAACUUAACGAAACGGCGAUAGGAGAAUGUGGGAACCUGCAGGCAAGUAAAAUAUAGUUGAUUAGUUUCUUUGUCAAUAAUAUACACAUAUACAUAUAAUAUUCAAAUUAAAGUGGAACUGACUCAUCUAUACUCACUGCCCACUUUACAUCUUCUUCAUUGGGAACAACUUCUUCAAGAAUUUCUCUAUGAGGUAAGAAGGGGACAAAAAUUGUUUCAUUGUACAAAAUCCUUUGGAGAACCUUUGCAGCUAUUUCUCUAAUCUUAUCCAUCUUCUCAACUGCUUGCUUAACAAUGCCUCCAACUAAAGUUUCAGCAAGAUUUGCAUCAAACAAUGAUUGCAUCUGGUCAUUCUCGAGUACAUAUCCCUUAUUCUGCUCCCCAGAUUCAAUGCCUUGUGAUUUACUCUGUAAGACUGAAGAAUCUCUCUUACAUAGAAUAUAAGUACAUCUUUCAAGUCCAAUCAUUGCAGCCUCACGGAUCCAAGAACCUACAUCGCCUCUGUUAUCCACAGAGUAAUCUUCAAGAGCUCUGAAUAGACUCUGCAUCACUUCAUUCUUGAUCAUAAGAUAUAGAGAUGUGCUAUCUUCAUCAGAAUGCAGUUCAGAACAUUCUUUGGUCUUAGAUAAAGUUUCGCACACUGAGAUUAGUCCUUUUAAAGCAUUCACCCGGGCUUCAGCAUCCCUUUCUUCAGGGUUGUCCUGUCAUUCAAAACUUGUCCAGUCAUGCAAUUAAUUCUUCCAUUAAAUUCCUUAAAAAAUGAAUGUUUUUUUGGCUUAAAUUUGUUAGAUGAUCCACUACGACCACAGAGAGAAGGGUAACAAACUAAAUCUACAGGCACAAACUGUUCAGAAUGCACCACAAAACCUGAACUUUAAGAAAAUAGCAUCGGAAGACGAAAAGCAAUAAGCCAUUGUAGGCCUCCAAAAGAAGAAAUAUUGGUUGUGCCCCUUUGGUUCAUUGACUUCAUUCUUUAAUAUAUUUUAUUUAUGAAAAGGCAGAAAAGUUCUAUAUAUGUAUUUAUGUUUGUGUAGAAUUCUAUAUGUGGGUGUCUGUUUUUUAUAGUUUAUUUCCAUAUUUUUAAUUCUUUUCCUUAUAUCUCUUACUCCCUCCGUUCCCAAAAUAUAGGAAUAGGACCAAUUUUGAAUUUAUGAAGUCGAUUCAAAUUUGAUAUGAAUUCAUUUAGUUUUAGAUGAUACAAUUAUGAAAAUUGUAAACUAAUCUAAAAAGCACGGCUAAUUACAAGAUUUAUUGUUUUCAAAAGUUAAACGUAUCACAUUAAUUUUGAGUUUGGAAUAUUUUUAAUAUCGACUCUAAGAAGUCAAAAUCGAUCUUAUAUUUUGGAAUGGCGGGAGUAUUAAUUUAUUUCCAAAAUUUUAUAUUCUUUUCCUUAUAUAUUUUAUUUACUUAUUUUGUUCUUUUAUUAUUUUUAUCUGUUUAAUCUUUUAUUUUUUUCUCCUUCCAUCUCUACUUUUACUUUUAUGGAUUCAUUUUUCAGCCUACCUCAACUAGUGUAGAAUAAUAGAUGUUUUUGAGUUAAGUUGAGGAAGAGCCAGGUGAGAGUCCUAACAAGGAGGAGGUCUACCUCAACUGCACAAGCACUGCAAAGCUUUGGAAGCACAAACUUCCACUUUGUGGCAAGAAACUCAAACGGCAAAGAACCUAUUGCCAAUGCAGACCCUCUUCUUACAGCUACAUUGGCAUCAGUCAGCUGUUGCAGGUAUUUCAAAGUGAUAUCGUCAACACCUUUAUCAGUUAUCUUGCUAAGGCGCGGAACAAAGUGUUUCAAGGCUUCAACAGCCACAGUCUGCAAACCAAAGAAAAAAUUAUUUAGGUUUAAGACGCCAUAAAAAAAUACUUUAAAGGUAAGUACCCAAAGAGUUCACAAACUAAUGGAGAAAGACCUGGAUAUGACUAUUAGGAUGUCUCAAAUUCUCAUUCAGGGUAUCAAGCAGACUUCUUUUUAUUUUUUCUGUCAAAGAUAUUUGAGCUAUAGAUAUACAUUCAAUGAAGCGAGAAACAGCAGAACGCAUUAUCUCUCCACCCUUCCCACGGUACAACCGUGCUUUGUCAAUAGCAGGUACUACACCAGCGAUCUGUUUCUGCUUGUCUGCAAGUAAACGUUUAGAAAAAGGAAAAAACACAAUUCCGUUGAGUGAAGCCAUGAACAAACUCAAAUGUAUAAUUUUUAAAUAAUAGAUUCUGAAAAGCACAAUUAAUGAAACAGCUUUGACUACCUAAAGCAACUUAACAAGGAAAACUAAAAUGUGACUAUAUUAAAAGCUCCGUAUAUCUCAAGGGGCUUGGUUCCCCAACCCACAUGCAAACAUAGGCAUAAUCACCAACAAAUAGAGCUAUAAUCACCAACAAAUAUAAGAGGCAAUUAUCUUCAAUAAAUGAAAUGAUCAGAUGCUAGUAGAAUAAUUUCAUUCAAAAUACAUCUCUUUCAGGAUAUAAAUUAAAUAUGAGCAUCAAAGCUUGAAAUUAAUAAAUAUGUGGAUAGAAAGCUGUCUGAAUAUGCUGUUGAAAUGGUAAAUUGACAAGAUCCACAUGGGAUGAGAUAUGCAACAAGCAUUUAGUCAGACAAAUAUAAUUGAGUGAAGAUGUAACAGUUUGAUGGAAUUAUUAUCAAAUUUCUAAACACGAAUUAUUUUGAUAAGAGUGGUUAUAAUAGAAACAGCCUGAAAGGAAAGGAGGUGGGGUGAUAGCCAUGUAUGCACUAUGUAUAUAAAAGGUAGAAAUAGGUGGGACAAAGAUUAACAGAUAAUAAAACACAAAAAUCAGCCCCUCCCAAGCAAAACCAGUUCCCCAACUUUAUAUGUAAUACUGUAGAUUUAUUCAGAAAAUUAAACUGUAUUUGCUACAGAGCCAUUAACUUUCAUGUAGCUUACGAUGAUAUAACAGAAUCACAAUUGUCGCUACCUGGUAAUAGGGAACUGUGGUAUUUUACAAUAGAACUAAGCAAAAAGACUGGUGUCAGUUCCCUAGCAAUAAAUCUAAGGUAUCACACCCCAUUUAACAUAAAUGAAAUGGUAAGCUCAACGUCCUGAUCUCUAGUCACAAGCUCCAAAAAAUAUAUAUAUAAAUAAAGAUAAACUUAAAUUUUACUUUCAUAAAUUCUGGUUUGUUUAGAAGAGUAAGUAAUAGUUUCUACCUGUCGAAAGAGCAUAACUACACUUGUGUAAAGCUAAAACAAGUUCUCCAGUAGCUAAGGUUGCACCAUGACGCAUACACAAAUCAGAUGAGAGAGUGCAAGGAAUUAAUUUCUCCAAAAUAAAAUUUGCAGAAUAUUCAGGAUCAUAUUUGACAAGAACAGAAAGUGCAUUUGAAGCAAGUUCUCUCAAGCCUUUAUCCUGAAAAGCAAACCGUGAGUAGGUUAUGUGAUCACAAGGUGGUAAGCCAAUAACUAAAUAAAAACACACCUGAACAACAGUAGCUAAUGUUAAAGAGAAGUUUAACUGUUUAAGAGAAGAACCCCACAGCCAAAUGUCCAAGCAAAUAAAUAAAGCUAUCAAAAAGUAGCUUACUAGAUGCUUUACUCUAAAUUGAUUACGAUCCACUCAUAAUUUCUUGGAAAAUAGAUAAGGAAAUCGAUAAAAAAAAAAACGGAACAUCUAUUACUAACAAUGGGAAGAGGAAAAAAAUCAUGUGCAAUUCAGAGAAAUUAUCACUAAACUUGUGGUCUUUAUAAGAUAACAAUAGGCACCUAAUCCAUCUUUUCCACUUCUAUUACUGUACAGUGGACACCAUCAUUGGCCUAUCCUCAUUUACACAUUCUGGGAAGUUUUGGCUCCUUUCUUUCAACUAGUUUUUUUAUGAACGAAUGUAAGAUUACUGUUUUUAUAUUCAGGAAAUCAGAUAACACGCUGUCCACUAGGACAGGAAAGUGGGGCGGCAGGACUUGGCAUCAAAAGAUGGAAGAAAAGGAUAAGGGCCACCCCUAUCCAGUUAAAAACAUACAACCAACCUCAAAGAAAUUAAAGAAAAGGGAAAACAAGUUAAUGUAAAGUUGAAACAUACCCAGUGACAAAUUUUGUUGUGACGCAGUUCCUCCAUGAAUGGAUAGAGGUAACCAUCAUAUUGAGCAAUACUGGCAGCGACAUGAAGAUAAGCAUUUACUCGUGAGGAUAGUGCAAAAUAAUCAGCUGUAUUCACUAUGUCAAUGCCAUGAGGAUAAUUCCCUUGUCUGCCAACAUUCUCCUGAAAAGCGGCUGCAGCUGCUCUUCUACAAUUCACCUAAUCAUCAAAUGGAAAAGCUUCAGCAUAGUAACAACAAAUAAUUACAUAAGCUUUUAAGAAUUAGUGAACCAUAUACAGAAAAACAAAGAACUUAAUAUAUAAAUUUAUUAAUAAGCACCUCACGGUCAUAGCAUGCAACAGUUAGUAGGUGAGGAGCAAGCUGUCCCAGUAUGUUUUUCAUAUCAGUGUGAGAAUAAGCACGACCAAAAGCCCAACAAACAUAAGCAGCUGCAUCACGGACAUGAGACCCAACACUAUGUGGACCCCUUCGAAUAUCAUAAUGCAAAGCCUGUUUCGAGAACAGAAUUAUACUUCAUUAGUGCCAGUGAGGUAUUCUCUCUGUGGCAAAUGAGACAGGUAUAUUAAAUUUCAACUUCAAAAAUUUUGUAUUACUGCGUCCUAACUCUCAAACAUAUUAACUUACUACCAACAGAUUGAUAAAGCAAGGGAAGAUAAAUAGAAGCCCUGAUUGAGCUAAAGAUGGGUAAGAGCACCAUACCUUUAUGACAACAGGUAAUACUUUCGGAAGACUGAUGGGUAAGAGCAAUCCUCUACGUGCUAGUUCAGCCAAUGCCAAACAUCCUCCAUGCCAUGAACCAUCUCCCUAUACGAUUACAACAAAUCAUCAUAAGUUGAAUACAAAAUUCAAGACAUACCUUAACCAUGUGAACGUAUGUCCCCAGGCACAUCUAAGACAUAAAUUUAUUUAUUUUUGGUUUAUGAACAAAACUCCAAGUUUCUUUUGAAAUUUAACGAUUGUAUUAAAGAUGAACCUGUAACGAAAAAGACAAAAUAAAAAAUUGCUUCAGCAUACCUCACCAGGUGAAAAUAGCUCCAGCACAGCCGAAAGGACUUCAUCAGAGAGGGUAUAAGUCAGACGUGAAGUGAUGCGACCAAUACCUUUUGCAGCAGACCAGCGCACAACAGUAUCCUAAAUUAUAAAUAAUUAUGUCACUAAUGACUAAUCAGCAGCAAUUGUGUCUAGAUACGCAAACAACAAGAAUGAAGAUUGCCUCAAGUCACUUGCAACCUAAAAAUCAAUCAACCUCUAACUUUUAAUACAAAAUUAAACUAUGGAUCAAGGGUCCAAAGCUUACGGAGAUUGCCUCCAAGCCAUGUCAUCAGAACAUAAUAGGAAGUUCAUGCAAGAGAUAACAUCCCAUUUUACAGAGCUUGCAUUUAAGAGUUAUGAAUCCAUCUACAUCGGUCCCUGCUAGGUAUUACAAAAACACAGCAAGUAACAAAGAAAACUGUAAUGAUUGUAGAAAAUUUUGAGGUUGAAUACUGUUGAUCUU